rnacentral:lncRNA from 1 species
GUGAAAAAUAAGGAAUUAUGUUUGCAUUGGGCUGAUAUUUCUAGCAAUUUUGAUGAGUUUAUUUAUUUAUUUAUUUAUUUUUUUUGGAUUUUGUCCAAAUGUUUAGAUGUUGAUGUUUUACGUAAAAGAAUACGCCAGUGUCAUACUUUAGGAUGCGCGAGCUCUUUAUUGAAGUUUUCAGCCGUUUGUUCUUGAUAUUAAAGUGUUAUGAGUUUCACAGUUUUAGGUCUGAAGGUGCUAGUGCUUGUGCUAAUUUAGGUUUACCAGACUCUUUUUAAGAGACACGGUAGAUGGUGUUCUGAAACGGCAAACGAUAUUAUCGUGAAGGAUUCUUUAGAUAAUUUCUAUCGCAUUAUUUUCAGACUUUUAUUGCAUGAUUUAGAUCACCUUUUUAAUUUUCCCGUUCUUUGUGUUUUCGGCCCUCGGCUCUGUCGUGUGGUAUUGCACUUUACUCUUUUUUGUUAUUUAUUUAAUAAUAUGAUUAUUAUCAGUGGUUGUGAUAUAUGAGUGUUAACGGAAGAAGAAAUAUAAUUUCAGUCGGUUGAUUUUAUGAAUUAGAAUGAAAUUAUUUUCUUCUGAAUUGUCUGCCCAUAGAUGGCGUUUAGGUUAAGUUGUUUGUGUGAUUUGGCGGUUAAAUCAUUCGGCACGACAGGGUCUACUCGAUAGGUCACGUUAAUUUUUACAUCCAUGCUAUUUGAUAUUUUGUAUCAUGCAUUAAGAGAUUGAUUGAUUUACAAAUGAUUGUGUGUAUUGAAAUACUAGUAUUUAUAAUAUAUAUAUAUAUUUAGCGGGACGGCUACAGUGCAGGCGAUUUGGUGUCACGAUAUCUCAGUAGCAUGGGUUCGGAUCCCGACGAGGGAAGAAC